rnacentral:rRNA from 1 species
UACGUAGGGGGCAAGCGUUGUCCGGAAUCAUUGGGCGUAAAGCGCGUGUAGGCGGCUUGGUAAGUCUGGUGUGAAACCUCGGGGCUCAACCCCGAGCCUGCACUGGAUACUGCCUCGCUUGAGUCCGGGAGGGGAGAGCGGAAUUCCUAGUGUAGCGGUGAAAUGCGCAGAUAUCUGGAGGAACACCGGUGGCGAAGGCGGCAUCCUGGACCAACACUGACGCUGAGUGAGCGAAAGCCAGGGGAGCAAACGGG